rnacentral:rRNA from 1 species
GGUAAAGGCUCACCUAGGCGACGAUCCGUAGCUGGUCUGAGAGGACGACCAGCCACACUGGAACUGAGACACGGUCCAGACUCCUACGGGAGGCAGCAGUGGGAAUUUUGGACAAUGGGCGCAAGCCUGAUCCAGCCAUGCCGCGUGAGUGAAGAAGGCCUUCGGGUUGUAAAGCUCUUUCAGCCGGAAAGAAAACGCGCAGGUUAAUAACCUGUGCGGAUGACGGUACCGGAAGAAGAAGCACCGGCUAACUACGUGCCAGCAGCCGCGGUAAUACGUAGGGUGCGAGCGUUAAUCGGAAUUACUGGGCGUAAAGCGUGCGCAGGCGGUUUUGUAAGACAGAUGUGAAAUCCCCGGGCUUAACCUGGGGAACUGCAUUUGUAACUGCAAGGCUAGAGUACGGCAGAGGGGGUAGAAUUCCACGUGUAGCAGUGAAAUGCGUAGAUAUGUGGAGGAAUACCGAUGGCGAAGGCAGCCCCCUGGGUCGAUACUGACGCUCAUGCACGAAAGCGUGGGGAG